rnacentral:rRNA from 1 species
UACGUAGGGUGCAAGCGUUGUCCGGAAUUAUUGGGCGUAAAGCGCGCGUAGGUGGCUUCAUAAGUCCGUUGUGAAAGUCAAAGGCUCAACCUUUGAAAGCCGAUGGAUACUGUCGGGCUAGAGUCCGGAAGAGGCGAGUGGAAUUCCUGGUGUAGCGGUGAAAUGCGCAGAUAUCAGGAGGAACACCGAUGGCGAAGGCAGCUCGCUGGAACGGUACUGACGCUGAGGCGCGAAAGCGUGGGGAGCGAACAGG